rnacentral:rRNA from 1 species
AUUCCAGCUCCAAUAGCGUAUAUUAAAGUUGUUGCAGUUAAAAAGCUCGUAGUUGGAUUUCGGGAUGGGUCAGUCGGUCUGCCGCAAGGUAUGUUACUGGCUUGCCUGUUCUUCUUCGCAAAGACUGCGUAUAGGCUUCAAUGCACGUGCGUAGGAUUUACGACGUUUACUUUGAAAAAAUUAGAGUGUUCAAAGCAGGCUAUCGCUUGAAUACAUGAGCAUGGAAUAAUGGAAUAGGACUUUGGUUCUAUUUUGUUGGUUUCUAGGACCGAAGUAAUGAUUAAGAGGGACAAUUGGGGGCAUCCGUAUUUCGUUGUCAGAGGUGAAAUUCUUGGAUUUACGAAAGACGAACAACUGCGAAAGCACUUGCCAAGAGUGUUUUCAUUA